AUUGAACGCUGGCGGCAUGCUUUACACAUGCAAGUCGAACGGUAACAGGCCUUCGGGUGCUGACGAGUGGCGAACGGGUGAGUAAUGCAUCGGAACGUGCCCAAUCGUGGGGGAUAACGUAGCGAAAGUUACGCUAAUACCGCAUAAGCCCUGAGGGGGAAAGUGGGGGACCGCAAGGCCUCACGCGAAUGGAGCGGCCGAUGUCAGAUUAGCUAGUUGGUGGGGUAAAGGCCCACCAAGGCGACGAUCUGUAGCGGGUCUGAGAGGAUGAUCCGCCACACUGGGACUGAGACACGGCCCAGACUCCUACGGGAGGCAGCAGUGGGGAAUUUUGGACAAUGGGCGCAAGCCUGAUCCAGCCAUGCCGCGUGCGGGACGAAGGCCUUCGGGUUGUAAACCGCUUUCAGCCGGAAAGAAAUCGCCGUUUUUAAUACAGACGGUGGAUGACGGUACCGGAAGAAGAAGCACCGGCUAACUACGUG
rnacentral:rRNA from 2 species